UACGUAGGGUGCGAGCGUUAAUCGGAAUUACUGGGCGUAAAGCGUGCGCAGGCGGUUCGUUAAGGUCGAUGUGAAAGCCCCGGGCUCAACCUGGGAAUGGCAUUGGAAACUGGCGGACUCGAGUGUGGCAGAGGGGGGUGGAAUUCCGCGUGUAGCAGUGAAAUGCGUAGAGAUGCGGAGGAACACCGAUGGCGAAGGCAGCCCCCUGGGCUAACACUGACGCUCAGGCACGAAAGCGUGGGGAGCAAACAGG
rnacentral:rRNA from 1 species